AUGACUUUGCUUGUCUUUUUAUCAACACACCACCUCCUUCUACCUCACACCUCUCUCUCUUUAUACAUCCUCAUUCUUCACCAUUUUCACACACUCACACACCAUAUUCUCUAUCCAUUAUUCAUACAUAUCCAUGAAGAAUAUAUAUAAUAAUCACACAGGAAGAUCUUUCUUUUGUGGGGAAUGUUGUCUGGCUCGAGACCACAAGAAAGCUUCAAUCUUUAUAAUCUUUAUGUUUCAUAAUCACAUAAUUGAUCAAUCUUUGUUGAUCAAUGAUUAAAGAUUAGAAUCUUGUGUUGUCGGACCAGGCUUCAUUCCCCUCAUGUGUUCUUCCUUAAAUUUCAAGAAAGUUUGGAUCUUUCUGCACCUACACACUUUGUUUCAUCAACAAGAUUCAAAAUUGUUAGGUGGGUGUGUUCAAGUUUCAAUCUUUUUAAAGUUUUGAUAAAAAUCUUGUGAUUUUUGUGUUUCUUGUGAGCAUAAUUUGGAUAGAUGAUGAAGAAGAAGAUUGGUGGAUUCAAGAUUGUUAGAUAAUUUGGAUAGAUGAAGAAGAAGAUAACCAAUGAGUGGUGGUCCAUUUGUAAAGGCAAAACCUUUAAAUGCCUUGGAAGGGGAGGUCUUGGGUUCAAGUCCCACUGACGACAGGAAUAAAAGAAAUUUGCCGUUAAAAAAAAAUGAAGAAGAAGAUUGGGGUAAUGAUGAGUUCUGAGAAUCUAACAAAAUUCCAGAAACAGGAUGCUAAGGUUUUUGUUUUUAAUCAUUGCUACUCUAAAUCAUGAUGAAAUUAAUCAAAAAAGGUUUCUUUGUUUUGUGAUUAUUGAUUAGAUUGUCAGUCUUUUAACCCCUUGUUUUGGCAUCAUGAUGAGUUUUCAAGAAUGUGGUAUGUCUGUUUCUGUUCUC
rnacentral:lncRNA from 1 species